rnacentral:rRNA from 1 species
AACUGAAGAGUUUGAUCAUGGCUCAGAUUGAACGCUGGCGGCAGGCUUAACACAUGCAAGUCGAGCGGGGGAAGGUAGCUUGCUACCGGACCUAGCGGCGGACGGGUGAGUAAUGCUUAGG